GGUGUGGGAGAUUGGCCUUGGCCCAUCUUUUGGUCCCUUCCCUGCCCAGUCCCCCAGUGUGGGGAGGGGGGAAGUGUUAAAUAAGCGGAGCAGAGCCAGCUUCUGAAACAGGCCGCCCUACUCUGCAUCCUGGAGUGUACAACUGCAGGAACUCAACAAGCAACAACACACCAACAAGACUCCAAGAUGCAAGUGAGAAGUAUACAGUGGGUGCUUGGGAUGCAGAGAUCAGAUACAAUUUCUUCCUUCCCAGAGGUUCCAUCAUAGAAGGAGAGACAGGUAAAGAGAAUCACAGUGAGACCCCUUGAGGACACUUGGACUAUCCUUCUGGGUAAGAGGCGAGGCUGGAGAAGCCGGCAGAGCUGGAAUCUGGAGGCCCAGAAAGCUGUGCUAUGGGAUUUGGUCUCGCUCUGCACCUGCUGGACUCCCCUCACCCGUUUUUGAAUAGAAAGUUAUGAUUUGAAGCACAUUUGGGGAAGUGGAGCCUGGCUGUCAUCUACAGAAGGCUUAAGAGCCCUCUCUCAACAGCUGAUCAAACAAAGCCGCACGCAGUUCAGUAAGCCAUGGGUACUCUGACCAACGCCAUCACUCGCCGUGCUCAACAACUGCACUAUCUGUCUGGAUGCCAAACGCACAUGAUAUGUUUACCAAGAGGGCCUGAUGCCGGUGGGGGGGUGGGGACUGCUGAUGCCCAAGGAUUGUCCUUUUUACCAGCAUCCCAGGUCACCCUGUGCAGGUGCUUCGAGACUCAGCCUCACAGAUCCCCCAAGUCAUCCUCUCCAGUGCCAACAUUCUCCCACUGCUAAGUGUGAAAGAACAUCUUUGCAAGAGAACGCGGCCCUGGCUGUGGGCCUAAUGUGCGUUUAGAGAGCUCUCUGGAGACCCAUCCCUGUCCGGGGUAAUGGUGGCAGAGGCAUAAUUACCUUAGCAUCGGGAAGGCAGCUGCCCACCCCCUGGGCUGUUACGUACCUCAUCACUUUCAUGACUGGAGCUUCCUGGAUUGUAGCUGGCUCGGGCCCAGGAUGCGGGGUCAGGUGGCAGAGAGGCUACGCGGCCGACUGCUUAGCCGGGAAACCUUCCCGCCCGGAACAGUCAAUUGUGCAGGGCAUGCAACCUGGAAAUGAGGACAGCUGCCCCCUGCCCCCCACAGUGCUCCAUAACCAGGUCCCCCGCAGACCCGGCCCAGGUCCCAUCACAUCGGCAUGUAGUGUGGCCGCUGCAGGGAAUGGCAAGUCUGAUGGGAGAGGUUACCCCUGCUCCCAUUCACUGAAACAUUUGCUGCUCUACAGCGCACUUGGGUGCUGCCUUAAUCGGUCAGUCUCCUGGGGCCAUGGGGAUGCUUGAAAAAAAAGUACAUGUCAAAAUAUGGUGUUGUUCAGAUGUAAUCUGGAGUCCCCAGCCCAAUGUGAGAUGAUUGCGGUGCUCAAAAUGGAGCAGCCUGUCUGCUCUCUGAGAAGAGGGCUGCAGGCGACAGACGUACCCCCCACCCCCGGUUGCCUGUUUUGGGGAGAACUGGCUUUGUCAGGGCUUCCAUGUGGGACUUUGUUCAAGAAGAGCUUAGCUUGACUCCCUGCAAAUGGAAAACCCAGCCAGAACUGAGAUGAGCAGAGUCAGGGGGCCUCAGGGAAGACAUCAAUGGUGGACGUGAGGUUGACCCCCAAGAUCCAUACCACUACCCCAACUAAUGCCACCAAUCUGCAUGCAUCACUCCUCAGGUGACACCAUCCAACAGAGGGCAGGCAUGUGUCCCAAGCUGGCCUGGUCAGGCUGGAGGAAGCCAUCUACGUAGUUAGGGAAGUGUCCUAUGUGUGUCUUGUCCUGGUGAGGGUGACUAGGGAGGCACAUUGUCCCAGUGGUCAAUGGGACAUGGACCAUCAUCAGGGUGACAUCAGUGCUGAGUAGAGAGACUGGAAGGAACCUAGAUCUCUGGUGAGAGCACCCAACACAGACUGAGCUGUACUUGAAGCCCUUUGCCUCUGGACCGAGAGUUCCGCGAGAUGUACAUGUCCUCACUGUUUGAAUCUUCUCGCAUCGAAUGUCUUCAUUUGCUGCCUGGAGCCUCCCGACUGUACAGCUUCCCACUGGAGCGGCUGCCUUCGGAAGCAUGAGCCGGUGCCUCACAGACAACCCUAAUGCGGGAAGCAGGCCAGGGCCUCGGAACCUACGUGGCUUGUCUGGAGCUUUCACAGUGUUUCAGUGGCAUUCUUUUUUUUUUUUUUUUUUUUUUUGAGCAAAAUUUCUUUUAAUUUUAUUUUACUUAAAUUCAGUUAAUUAAAAAAAAAAUAAAUUCAGUUAA